CCUACGGGAGGCAGCAGUGAGGAAUAUUGGUCAAUGGGCGCGAGCCUGAACCAGCCAAGUAGCGUGAAGGAUGACUGCCCUACGGGUUGUAAACUUCUUUUAUAAAGGAAUAAAGUGAGGCACGUGUGCCUUUUUGUAUGUACUUUAUGAAUAAGGAUCGGCUAACUCCGUGCCAUCAGCCGCGGUAAUACGGAGGAUCCGAGCGUUAUCCGGAUUUAUUGGGUUUAACGGGAGCGUAGAUGGGUUGUUAAGUCAGUUGUGAAAGUUUGCGGCUCAACCGUAAAAUUGCAAUUGAUACUGGCAGUCUUGAGUACAGUUGAGGUAGGCGGAAUUCGUGGUGUAGCGGUGAAAUGCUUAGAUAUCACGAAGAACUCCGAUUGCGAAGGCAGCUUACUAAACUGCCACUGACAUUGAUGCUCGAAAGUGUGGGUAUCAAACAGGAUUAGAUACCCCUGUAGUC
rnacentral:rRNA from 1 species